rnacentral:rRNA from 1 species
AAAUGACUCUCGGCAACGGAUAUCUCGGCUCUCGCAUCGAUGAAGAACGUAGUGAGAUGCGAUACUUGGUCUGAAUUGCAGAAUCCCGUGAACCAUCGAGUCUUUGAACGCAAGUUGUGCCCGAAGCCAUUAGGCUGAGGGCACGUCUGCCUGGGCGUCACGC